CAGACAGGUGCUGUUGUGAGUUUGCUUUUAUUUUCAAGAUCAAGCCCCUUCUAUAAUCUUGACAUAAUUUAGUGUGUGUGUGUGUGUGUGUGUGUGUGUGUGUGUGUGUGUGUGUGUGUGUGUGUGUGUGUGUGUGUGUGUGCGCGUGUGUGUGCACAGCCUGAGCCCGUGUGUAUAUGGCUUGGCAUGUCUGAGGCGAGCCCCGUAUAAUCGCUGCAUAACUCUGAUGCAAUAAUCACAUGUAAAUGACCACGGCAUGGAAAUGUGCUCUCUUGGUUUACAUAAUCUUGUAAUGACCCCUUGUAACACACUGUCUGUGAUAUUGGCCCUAAUAGAAUGUUCUUGCUCUGUGUUUUUUUUUUUUAACCCAACUUAUUUUUGUAGCUCCAGCCUGGAAUUACACAGAGCGCAAGCCCGGCCUAUUAGCACCAUGACAUGAGUGAUUUAAUUUACCCUCUCUCUUUCUCUCUCUCUGUCUCUCCUCCUAUUUAGCAUGCAACAGGCGUGGGCAGUAAUGCCUGUGUGAUUGGGCUGUGCUGGGUGAUGAUUUUAAUAAACACACACCCGCAGAGGUGGCCACAGGUCAACCGUGUUUGGAUUCAUCAGGUGCACAGGACGCAAGCUGGAAUGAAAAGCUUGGUGGUGGGCUGGAUCCACACCUGGACCAUAUUUCACCAGGGUGCAUACUAGAGAAUGGAUUGGAUCAUAGGUGAAAGUGUAUUCUUACCUGGAUAAUGGUGGCAACAAAAGCCCAUUUAUUUGGGCCUGCAUUUCCACUGGCAAAGUGUUGGAGUGUACUGUUAGCGGAGUGCAUUAUAAAUACAGCCAGGCUUGCCGCUGUCCCCCCUCCUCCUCUCCCC
ensembl:lncRNA